UACGUAGGGUGCGAGCGUUGUCCGGAAUUAUUGGGCGUAAAGGGCUCGUAGGCGGUUUGUCGCGUCGGGAGUGAAAUCCACUGGCUUAACUGGUGGCUUGCUUUCGAUACGGGCAGACUGGAGGUAUGCAGGGGAGAACGGAAUUCCUGGUGUAGCGGUGAAAUGCGCAGAUAUCAGGAGGAACACCGGUGCGAAGGCGGUCUCUGGGCAUGUCCUGACGCUGAGGAGCGAAAGUGUGGGAGCGAACAGG
rnacentral:rRNA from 1 species